rnacentral:rRNA from 1 species
AUUGAACGCUGGCGGCAGGCCUAACACAUGCAAGUCGAACGAGUGGCGGACUGGUGCAUAGUGUCUGGGCAACUGCCCGACGGAGGGGUAUAACUACUGGCAACGUUAGCUAAUGCCGCAUAACCUCGUCUAUGCCCCGAUUGGAUUAGCUAGUGGGUGGGGUAAGGGCUCACCUAGGCGACGAUACCUACAUGUGCUGAUAGGAUGACCAGCCACACUGGAACUGAGACACGGUCCAGACUCCUACGGGAGGCAGCAGUGGGGAAUAUUGCACAAUGGGCGCAAGCCUGAUACAGCCAUGCCGCGUGUAUGAAGAAGGCCUUCGGGUUGUAAAGUACUUUCAGUGAGGAGGCGUUAAUCUCAGAAGAAGCACCGGCUAACUCCGUGCCAGCAGCCGCGGUAAUUC